GGAGCAGGCAAGGUGAUCGCCGGCGAAGCGGCCUAACAGUCGAUUCGCGGGAGGAAAGUCCGAGCUCCACAGGGCAGGGUGCUGGGUAACGCCCAGUGGGGGAGACCCCAAGGAAAGUGCCACAGAAAAUACACCGCCGGAAUUCGUUUCCGGUAAGGGUGAAAUGGCGAGGUAAGAGCUCACCGCGGUUCGGGCGACCGAACCGGCACGGUAAACCCCACCCGGAGCAAGACCAAAUAGGAAGGCGCUGUCCUCCUUCGGGGGGACUGGAGGGCUGCCCGCCCGAGUCUUCGGGUAGGUCGCUUGAGACCCCGGGUAACCGUGGUCCUAGAUAAAUGAUCGCCGCCCCCCGACCGAAAGGCGGGGGGAACAGAACUCGGCUUACUGCCUGUCUCCGACU
rnacentral:RNase_P_RNA from 1 species